AGCGAACGCUGGCGGCAGGCCUAACACAUGCAAGUCGAACGAAGUCUUCGGACUUAGUGGCGGACGGGUGAGUAACACGUGGGAACGUGCCUUUAGGUUCGGAAUAACUCAGGGAAACUUGUGCUAAUACCGAAUGUGCCCUUCGGGGGAAAGAUUUAUCGCCUUUAGAGCGGCCCGCGUCUGAUUAGCUAGUUGGUGAGGUAAAGGCUCACCAAGGCUACGAUCAGUAGCUGGUCUAAGAGGAUGACCAGCAACAUUGGGACUGAGACACGGCCCAAACUCCUACGGGAGGCAGCAGUGGGGAAUCUUGCGCAAUGGGCGAAAGCUUGACGCAGCCAUGCUGCGUGGAUGAUGAAGGUCUUAGGAUUGUAAAAUCCUUUCACCGGUGAAGAUAAUGACUGUAGCCGGAGAAGAAGCCCCGGCUAACUUCGUGCCAGCCGCCGCCGUAACAC
rnacentral:rRNA from 1 species